rnacentral:lncRNA from 1 species
CUUUCCUCCAUCACCAUGACAACCAUAUCUCAUAAUCAGCCAGACUCUAUGAGGAGAGAUGGGCAAAGAGAACCACAAAGAUAAUUUGCUACCAGCUCAGGAGUUGUCUGUGGGGGUCGCUAGGCUCAGCAACUGGAAAGCCUCCCCACCUUGACACAGGACCCCAAUGCGCAGACCUCUUCCAGGCGCAGUGGAGAUGCUCAGAUCUCGGCAUCCUGUAGCUCUGCUGGCACCAUGGACGGUGGGGAGGCUCUGACAGUGGCUGAUCACAGGAGACUACAGGGCAUUCUGCAACAAGAUGCCGCAGGGAGUCCUCAAGCACCUCCAUGGGAAAAACAGAGACAGAUCCUGGGACCAUAUGGAGAUCGCUGUUGGCAUAGGACAGGACAAAGGCCAAGUUCCACAGCCAAGAGCCUUCAGGACACCCGCAGGUCUUUGUGC